rnacentral:lncRNA from 1 species
AAUAGUACUUAUUGAGUACACGACCCCUAUUGACGUUGGGGUCACCACAUCAAAGGUCAAGGUCACCAGGUCAAAGGUCAAGGCACUGUGGGUGCAUUUUUCACCAUUAGUGACAGCUCUUGUUAGGUUGACUAUUUGACAUCAUGAAAUGAUCUCCCAGGACAAGUUAAAUAACUCUAGCUUUUAUUUUGGCAAAAUUAUGCACCUUUUUAACAUAAAAAUUUUGUGACAGUUUUGCAUGUAAGCACAUUUCUCAGGAUUUACUUGACCAAAUGUUUUCAUAUUCUCCACACAUCAUCAUAGGAUGACCUCACUUUGCAAGGUUAAUAAUUCUGGCUUACAUUUUAGCAAAAUUACACCUCUUUUUCUACUUAGAAAAUGUUGCUAAACCUUUUUGUGUAGAAUGGUAUUGGGUGGAAAGGCUUCAAACAGUUGAGGGUGCUGUCAUCGGACAGCUCUUGUUAAAUGUGAACUUACAAAGUUGUCAUAAAGUGAAGUAAUCAGAAAAAAGUUGAUUCAGUAAUACUUUUUACGCUGUUUAACAAUGCUUAAAUUAAAAAAAAAUUAUCUGUAAAAAGCUAAAAAAGCCAAAAACAGACAUUACAUUUUAUGUUAAUUCCCAAAAUGCCUGUAACAGUAUUGUAAAUAAAUAAUAUUGAUCCUCCAAGAUGAUGAUCAUAGCCAUCUACAGUAAAACACAUGCCCCAAGGUACUCUUAGUUUCCAGGGUUUCAAACAAUCCAAUCAUAGACAAUAUAAGAAAAAUGGCUGGUUGCAUGAAUUGCUCAAGUAACCCUGGUGCUUUAACCGUCAGUGCACGAGAGAGCAGUGUUUUAUUGCAGAUUGAAUUGUACAACAGGUUCAUUUUAUCAGUAUUUGGUAUUGAAUUAAUAAUAACGUUAAUUAGAAUUUAGUGAAAAUAUCCUUCCAUUGAAAGACUUUAUAGUGAAUAUUUGUCUAAUAUGUUCAUAAAUUUUAUUAAAAGUAACUUAAUCUUUGACAGCUGAGAAAUAUCAAUACUGUUUAACAUUAAUAAAUGUAUUCAUGUUUUCCAAGUUAGACAGACCUGUUACAAUAAUGUCAAACACAAUUUAUUCAUAUUUAUUUCAUGUUAAUAUACAUUUUGCCUGUGCUUUGUUAAAAUGAUCAUAAAUAGUAAAAAGCUUGAAAAAUAUCA